rnacentral:lncRNA from 10 species
CUAUUUUUAUAAAUCUAAAUAAUCUCCUAUUGUUUUGGAAAAAACUCUCCAACAGCUUUUUUCCCCCCUCUGCUCCCACACCACAGCAAUCAACAACACAGAAGACAACUUCUGCAACCCUAUCGGGAGAGGAGGGGUUCUCUCCACCACCAGAUUAUUCCUGACUAGUGAUAUAAAUAAAAUCUUUCCUGGUCCAGAAUUGGUGUUGAGCCUCUCAACAAAUCUUUGAGCCCUGAUUAUAUAUAAGGUAUUGUGCCAGGUGCAGUGGCUCACGCCUGUAAUCCCAGCACUUUGGGAGGCUGAGGUGG